rnacentral:tRNA from 1 species
GGGGAUUUAGCUCAGCGGCAUAAGCGCCUGCCUUAAAAGCAGGCAGUCCCCA